GAUUCCUGGAAGUUGAGUAAACUACAGACUGACUGCCUACUUUCUCACAAGGCGCUUACACGGACUCUUCAGCUCUGUUCGGCCGUGAGACUUCCUGCUCCAUCAGCGUCACGUUAACAGUGGGUCGGUCUAAUCCCAAACACAUGACGGCUGUGGAGAAGGGCUCGCUCCAUCUCACCUGAGAGAUUCCUAACAACAGAACUCAGGAUUCCUGAGACUUUCAAGAGACCAGCUGGACGUCUUACAUAGUGAUCAGAACAACAAUUGUCCCGUCGGUCACUUCCAAAUAAGUUGUGGCGCGACAGACCGGCACGCACUCUGAGAGAGGCCCGUGAAACGGAAAUGAAGUGGAUUAUCGAGUUCACCACCGACUACAUACAGUUUGUGUAGACUGCACUGUCCCUGCAUUGACAUUCAAAUAACAAACCAUGGGUGACCAAAGACAUCAAGGCCACCGUGAAUGCAAACAAGAGCGCUAUUAGAGAUGGUAAUAGGGAGGAGGUGAGAACAAAACAAGGCGACCUGAAGGUUAAUAUCAUGGAGGCUCGAUGCACCAAGCAACAUCAAAGAACUAGCAGCGAAGGACACCAAUGUUGCCUCAUGUUUCCUCAGUCUUGACCAAAAGUUUUGCAAAUUGAACACACCACAGAGUUUACAGCCAAUUACUAUGGUAUGCUAAGAAAUAGGCCUAUUGAUGCUUCUCUCUCUCUCUCUCUCUCUCUCUCUCUCUCUCUCUCUCUCUCUCUCUCUCUCUCUCUCUCUCUCUCUCUCUCUCUCUCUCUAAUAGAGAGUAAACUCAAAACUGGGAAAUGUUGGAAGGCUGGUAUGACAGAAUAAGAAAUGUGAAGGUCUUAUCUUUGGCUUUGGGAAAAUGUGGCUGACAAUUUCACAAUUUUCUCACA